AUAUAUAUAUAUAUAUAUAUGUGUGUGUUAUAGUGUAUAAACAAUUUAAGUAUUUAUACACGAAAGAGGUGACCUUUGACAGGACACUUUCCAUGCC